CAAAACUGUUGAUUUGAAGAGCUGGGAAGGAAACCGUGAAGUUCUCUCUCCUUUCAUCGUCUGGGGCUGUGCCCUCUGUGGGCUUGCUAAGUAAAGGCUCAGCUGGGAGGAAACAGAAUCUGGAGAACGCCCAGCUGCUCCCACGGGAAGCAUCAGGGAAGAAGGCAAGGUGUGAAUUCUGCCUUCUGCUCUGCUGGGAUCCCUUUCACAUCUCCUUUGUCUCCAGGCAAUAACGGUCCCUGGCUGUUUCCAGGUGUGACUUCCGAUCUUGAGUCCUGUCUCCUUGUUUUGUGGUUCUAAAUCUUGGCCACACAUUGGAAUCAUCUGGGGAGAUUUAAGACAUACUCAUGCCUGGUUCUGCCUCCGGGGCCUAGGCUUCUAGAUCUUUACAAGCUCCCUGGUGAUUCUCACAUGCAACCAAGCUUGUGAUCAUAACUCCUCUGCAACACGUAAACUCUCCAUAGAAAUUAUUUUUGUUAUAGUUGCUUAUCUCUCAUUGUCUGAUGACAUGCUCUGUCCUAGAUUAAAGAAUUACAUGCUUUGGGAAGAUAUUUCCAUGGGUUGUGAAGCCUUUUUCUAUACCCCAAAGUCAUACUGCAUCAGAUAUCAGUGCUAAAGAUAAACCAGUGAUCGCCUAUUUUGUCUAUUUUAGGCCUGAAAACAGAGUAAAGGGAAGACAACAGCCUAAUUUUAUUCUAGCUUUUUUUCUCUUCAGUUUUCCCUUUCCAUUCUUCUUCCCUAAGGCUCUCAAAUACCUUCUCACUCCCUCAAUGUUUCCCUACUUAUAUAUUUCUUCCUAGGUUUUUCCUACAUUUAAUCUAUCACAUAUAAUA
rnacentral:lncRNA from 10 species